CAGAGCAGCGAACGAGGGCGUCGGCCAUUUUGUGCCUGUUUCCUGUGGAACGCGGUGGUGGCCGUUGGGUCCGAAGAGUGCGCGAUUUUCCCCUCGUUUUUCCUGUUUAUUAUCUCCUCCCUUUUAAUUUGUAGAGCGCAGUUAUGGGUCGCAAGAAGAAGAAGCAGCUGAAACCGUGGUGCUGGUAUUGUAAUAGAGAUUUUGAUGACGAGAAGAUCCUUAUACAGCACCAAAAAGCAAAACAUUUUAAAUGUCAUAUAUGUCAUAAGAAAUUGUACACAGGACCUGGCUUGGCUAUACAUUGCAUGCAGGUGCAUAAAGAGACAAUAGAUGCUGUACCCAAUGCAAUACCUGGUAGAACAGACAUAGAGUUGGAAAUAUAUGGUAUGGAAGGUAUUCCAGAAAAAGACAUGGAUGAAAGAAGACGGCUUCUUGAACAGAAGACACAGGCAGAGAGUCAAAAAAAGAAGCAACAAGAUGAUUCUGAUGAAUAUGAUGAUGAUGACUCUGCAGCUUCAACUUCAUUUCAGCCACAGCCUGUUCAACCCCAACAAGGUUAUAUCCCCCCAAUGGCACAGCCAGGAUUACCACCAGUUCCUGGAGCACCAGGAAUGCCUCCAGGCAUACCGCCAUUAAUGCCAGGUGUUCCUCCUCUGAUGCCAGGAAUGCCACCAGUUAUGCCAGGCAUGCCACCUGGAUUGCAUCAUCAGAGAAAAUACACCCAGUCAUUUUGCGGUGAAAACAUAAUGAUGCCAAUGGGUGGAAUGAUGCCACCUGGACCAGGAAUACCACCUCUGAUGCCUGGUAUGCCACCAGGUAUGCCCCCUCCUGUUCCACGUCCUGGAAUUCCUCCAAUGACUCAAGCACAGGCUGUUUCAGCACCAGGUAUUCUUAAUAGACCACCUGCACCAACAGCAACAGUUCCUGCUCCACAGCCUCCAGUUACUAAGCCUCUUUUCCCCAGUGCCGGACAGAUGGGGACACCUGUAACAAGCUCAAGUACAGCUUCAUCCAAUUCAGAAAGUCUGUCUGCAUCUUCUAAAGCUCUGUUUCCUAGCACAGCACAAGCUCAGGCAGCUGUCCAAGGACCUGUUGGUACAGAUUUCAAGCCCUUAAAUAGUACCCCUGCAACAACUACAGAACCCCCAAAGCCUACAUUCCCUGCUUAUACACAGUCUACAGCUUCAACCACUAGUACAACAAAUAGCACUGCAGCUAAACCAGCAGCUUCAAUAACAAGUAAGCCUGCUACUCUUACGACAACCAGUGCAACCAGUAAGUUGAUCCAUCCAGAUGAGGAUAUAUCGCUGGAAGAGAGAAGGGCACAGUUACCUAAAUAUCAGCGUAAUCUUCCUCGUCCAGGACAGGCUCCCAUUGGUAAUCCACCAGUUGGACCAAUUGGAGGCAUGAUGCCACCACAGCCAGGCAUCCCACAGCAACAAGGAAUGAGACCCCCAAUGCCACCUCACGGUCAGUAUGGUGGUCAUCAUCAAGGCAUGCCAGGUUACCUUCCUGGUGGUAUGCCACCGUAUGGGCAGGGACCACCAAUGGUGCCCCCUUACCAAGGUGGGCCUCCUCGACCUCCGAUGGGAAUGAGACCUCCUGUAAUGUCGCAAGGUGGCCGUUACUGAUCUCACUUCAUCCAAUCUAAUAGGUUUUUAGAAGUGAAGUAUAGUAAAUUUGGUUCGUUAUAUUGUGAAGGCGCUGGAAUUACAUGAACAUACCACCUUAAUAAAGCCCUGCCAUAGGACAGGCUGAGGCUGAGUCUCAGUGUUGCCCUGUUCAGUCUGAGGCAAGUGGGAUUUAUUUUAUUCCUUAUAGGGGCUUUCACAGCUUGAUGGCUGUUGGAUAUUUAUGUCCCCAAACUUGCAGCAAGUUUGGUGAAGGCCCCUAAAUUUAAUUAAACGUAGGAUUUUUAUACUCUUGGCAGAGAAGGCUCUAUAUUAAUAUUCACGUUUGACUGUGGUGUUAAUAAAAAGUAUUUGAUAAUAUGUAAUUUUAUGUAACUUACUUUGUGUUAUAACAGCCUUGUAAAGCUGUUGCUGCUAUAUUGAACUUUAGUAAAUUGACAGAAUUUGAUGUUCUUAAUUUGGAGGCAUGAAAUGUUUCAUUUAAAUUUUCCACUUUUCACUUUUAGGAAAACCUUACUGGUAAUAUAUUUUAUCUUCAAACUGUUAAAUUUAACCUCAAGGAUAAGUUUAAUUAUUGGAAAUGCCACUGGGUACUGAAUUAAUCCCAACGUUACGCAUUGAACAUUUGAGGUUGAAAGAUCAUCUGGAAAUGCUUGUGAUUUUUAAUAUUUUUAAAACCUCACCACAUUAGAGCAAAUGUUAAUGUAGAGCCCUGUGAAAAGUGGGAAGGUGGUGUGUGUGUGUGUGUGAAUGCUUAUACACUACACAUUUGAGAUAAUAAAAGAGUUUGAGUAUUACAGACCUAUCAGUGUGGAUAGAUGCUAAUUUUCAGGUAGCCAAACUGAAUUCGUGUCGUGGUAAAGUUAGUAUAUUGAACUAUGGUUUUGAAACGAUAAUUUUGAGGUUCAUUUUUAGCCUUACUGCACAGUAAUUUAAGCAAUAUGCAUACAUGAGAAGUAUCCACGUUUGUUUUCAACUAAAGUUUCUUUUAUUCGAUGAGAACAAUUGUGUUUAUGUCUGCAUGUUGUAGGGGGUAAAGAGGGAACUGGAAGAGGCCAAAACAGAAACCUGGAUUACCUUGAUUCCUUCCUGUGUUUAAGCCACCAUUUUAUCCAGAUAGCAUUUUCCUCUGAACAGUAAUAUACAGUACAACGUUUAGCAAACCCAGAUUGUGUUCCUGUGUUGUUUUAAUUCUUGGAAGCAUAAAGAAAAACGCAUUAAAUGAAUUCCAAAUUUUCACCUGUUUAUUAAAACAUACGCUUUUCUCUGUAACUGAAAUCAUGGGGGGUAGAUUUUAAUGUCUGAUACAAGAAUUUUGUCACAAUAAAAAUAUUCCAUUGGAAUAUUUUAUAACCUACUCAAUAAUUACACCUUUUAAGCUCCUUAGUUGGAGAUGUCUUCUGUUGCACUCACAAUCCACCAAUGUACUGAAAUAUUCAAGAGUGAAGCUAUUGACAGAGUUUGUCGAGGAUGAUACAGAUACCUAAUUUAAGAUGUAGUUUCUUUGAUAUUUCUGUCUGUGACUCAAAUACGAUUUUAAGAAUUACACAACUUUCAGGUGUCUAUUAACGUCCAUUGGUAAAACUUGGUAAAUGAAAGGAAAUGUUAAGUCACCUCUUCACUGAGGUAAAAUUUUGUUUGAGUAAAUUAACACUUGUGUUGGUUAGGGGAUAAAAUAAUUAAGUACCCUAAAAUUUUGUGUAAAUCAGGUUUGUCUUUUUUAAAAGAUGGUACUUACCUACCUAAUAUUGAAUAACCUUUGUAUCUUACUCCAAAAUGAAACCAUUUUCUCUUAACUUUUAUGGAAAGGUCUUUAAAUGGAGGGGUUCAGUUAUUAUUAGACUGUUCAGUAUAAGACAGAUUUUUGUAGGUAAAUAUUCCCCUAAUUAUACUUCUGCUUACUAACUCAUGAUUUGAAUAUUAGUAAAGUUUACUGCCUUUUUUUAUCCCUUAGGUUUUUAUUUUCUGUCAUCUGAAUCAUUUUAAUAAAUAACUUGUUUUUCUAGCAUAGAAACCAUCUUAAGUUUUCUGUGUAAAAUUUCUUGGCAAAAUAAGCAAUUACUUUAAUGAAGUAUGUGAACAUAAUUGUGAACAUAGUGAUACAAUUCUGUAAUGUUUAAUUUUCAGAACUAUACUUUUAAUAUUUUGGCUCUUAGGUAUUCCCUAUUAUGCAUCUAAUUCAAAGUAAUGCAUAGGAAAUGGGGAAAGCAGGACCUAAUACUUGAAAUAUCGCCAACUUUUCCAAGUCUUCAUGUUCUUAGCAUUUUUGUUGGGAAAUAACAGGUUUAAAAGUAGCAUUUUUUAAAAAACUAGAUUUCUUCAGUGAGAGAGGGUCAGAAGAGAACGGCUUUUUAUUAGCAUUGUUUUUCCUGUUUUGGGCUGUAUACAUUUUUGCAUAAUAAUUUGGCCAGGAAAGGAAGAUGUUUUCAUUUUCUUCCCAAUUCUGAAAAACUAAUAGCUUGAAACUAUGUUAGUUUGAAAUUUUUGAAUCAUCUCUGUAAACCUGUUCAAUUACUAUCAUGUGUCCUCGGGAACAUACCUGUAUUAAGCAAGAUGUAGAACUCAUAUUAAGCCAGAAAUUGGAGAGCCAAAGGAGAUCUUCAUUGAAGCUAAUUUGAACUAUUUCCAUUUGAAGCAAAUCGAAUACUCUUAUAAAUCAAGACUGGUUCGUGUUAGGUUCUUUAGGAGGCAUGUAAUUACCAGCUAUAUUAUGAGAAUAUGUGUAUGUUUUAUUUUGAUCAAAUUACAGAGAAGAUAACGUGUGAGUAAACCUUUAAUGAUUGAUUAUGUGGAACCCAUCCAUUCUCUAGCCUGUAAUGGCACAGCUUCAGUAAUGUGCUAUGUAUUUGGUCAGGGGUUUGUAUAAUGCUGUGUUUGUAAAAUGAGAAAUUCCUUUAUUGGAAUUCUCCAAGCCGUUUGGCAUUUUUACUGUGUGUGGGGUUUUUAAAGUAUUUAUGCCUUCACCUUCAGUGAAUUUUUGAGGAACUGGCAAUGAAAUUCAUUGAUGCCCAACUUGGAUAAAAAUGAAGAAUGGUGUGUGCUGCCCAGUGAACUACACAGACCAAUAGCGAUUAUUUGGGAGAGGCCAUUGUAUAAUUUUGUUAGACUUAAGAACCUUAAAUGUAAUGAAAGGUAACCGCAUUCCUGCUCUUGCUUUGCAUUUGUUACUAAGAUUUCACCAAAUCAUUAUAACGUAGUUUAUGCUCAAUAUUCAGAUACUUAAGCAAUCAGAUACGAAAAUAAUUAAGAUUUGCAGCAUCAUUUCCCAGUCUCUAAUGAAACAAGGCUGCUUAACUACACAAGUGAACCAAGGGGAGGGUUAUUAAAGUUCUCUUAAGUUUGAGUUAGAAAUGGGGGGCAUGUAGUUACUGAGCAAAGCUUUUUCGCUAUUAGCUUGCUUUAGUGUACAUCCAGGAGAAGCAGUAGAAUUUACUUUUCAGCCCAUGUUUUUGAAAUUGAAAAUAAUAAGAAAGCGAAAUCAGUUUUUUGAAAAUCAAAUUAGAAACUAUUAAAAAUUGUUUGCCUCUGUAGGGUGUGUCUUCAUAUACUUAAAUUUAGAAAUUAUCGCAUUGAAGAGAUUUUUUCCCUAGAUAAAUGCCCCCCCCCCCCGUUUUAGAGUAAGCAAAAUUUCCAUGUAAUACACAUUGGAAUUCAUAGUUUAUUAAAAUUGAGCUGUGUCCAAGAGAUAUACAGUGUUACUAACUCAUUCUCAUAAGGUCACUCGAACAGCUAAUGUAAUUUUUGUAAGACUUAGGGAAAGGAAUUUUACUGUAUUAAUGUCAGGCUCUGAGGAAAUUUAAUGCACAUUGACUUUUUAAAGUAUGGAUUGAACUCCUCAGUUUAAUACAAUUUGUGUUUUUGUUAACUAGCAGCAGAAUUUCAGCAUUUGCUACUUACUGGUAGAGAAGAAAAAUCCCACAGCCCUGCCAGUACAGGUUAGUUUUAUCUGUAAGUACCUGAUGUUCCUAUUUUUUUCAAACAUAUCCAUAUAACCCACACAAGGAAGAAAGCUGUGCAGUUUCUUAAAUGUGAGUAUAACUAUUAGGUCCAUUGGACACUUUCAGACACUCAAUACUUGGGCCAAUUAGCUCUAGGUUUGUUAAAUAAGUUGUAAUAAAGGUGUAAUACUCCUUUAUUGUUUGGUUGUGGUUGGACCUAAAUAGAUAUAUUGUACAUAAGAGGAAAAGACAGUGAAAGUUUCUGAUGGCUAUGUGCUCAUUUUGGUAUCUUAUAACGGAGUGCAGGGCUUGGAGUCGAGGGCCUUUUACUUAAGCCACUUCUGUGGUGGUACUCAGUUACCUUUUAACUUCUUACAGUAUGAAUCAACCUAAAAAAGUCAAGUUUCCUCAUUUGUAACAGUGAUAAUGGUGUACAAUCAUAAGCUAGAAAAUGUUUUUAUAUUGCUUUUUUGUUUUUAGUACUUGCUGUAAAUAAGUACUAGUUUUGUUCCUCUUUUUUUGUAAACUAUAACCUAUUGGUGCACCACCACCAUUUGUUCAUUCUACUUUGAGCUAAGAAUAACAAGUCUUUUUAAUAUUCAAAUGAAAGCUGACUAACCAUCAAGAAAUCUAGAUAGAUUCUUUGUGUAUUUCUUUUGAGGGGCAACAGCGUUGUAACUGGGCUGUAAAAGAUUUGUUAAAGUUCUUAACUAAUUUUAUUGGUUCUACCAGAGUUCAUUGUUGUCUUGAACCAUGCUUGAGAGAUUUCCUUUAACCUUUAAAUAAUUGUGCUCUUAUGUUGAUAAAAGUUUAAUACCGAGGAGAGAAGAAGAAAGUAUACAACAGAGUUUAUACAAGCCGAAACCAUCCUUUCAAUCUGUAGCAUUGACUGGGAUGCGAGGCUUCCUCCUUUACAGCUUAAGUGUAAUGAUGUCUGAUUUGGGACAGUCUGUCCAUACAACUAGCUGAUCUUGUACUCCUAUUCAACUGGGAUGGUGAUUAAGCACUGAAAAUGCAUUACCUUAAUGUUAUUUUAAAUGAGUCAUGUUCAGUUCAAUUUUUUUAAAACCUCAAUUUAUCAACAUAAAAUAUAUUUUAUAAGAUAUCCAUUUGUUUUUAAUAUAAAAUUGCCUAAGGGCUUAAGUUUCAUUGCCUUUCACAGUUUAAUCUGUAUAAGAAAUGGCGUAGAUACAGUGGAAAUGGUUUUCCUUAAAACCAUCUCUUUAAAGCUGCCUUUCUGGUGAGUACUGUUUUAUACUUUUAUAUAUCACAAUUUUUCCUUUUAAAUUUAACUGAAACACAGGACACUUUGAUCAAAGAGUGAGCGAUAUGAAUUUCUACACUCUUUAGAUAUUACCUGAAUUGGGAAUAUUAAGAAGGUGAUUAUUUUAGCUACUAACAUUUCCCUCUUAAUCUGGGCUGUUUUUCUGACCUCCACUUAACAAACUGUAACUGCAAAAACUUGCACAAAUUAUUUCCUUUUGGUGAGAUGGAAAGAUUUUUAUCUAGCAUUUACAAUUUUUUUAAGCUUAAAUUUUUUUUUCAGUUGACAGCCAAAAGAUUUUUCUCUAUGCUAUUGGCUCCCACGUUGUGUAGGUGUAAAAUUAAAAUACCAGGCAGGAUUCCUGUCUGUUCUUGUUGAAGCUGUUGUUGCAGUGAUUUAUAAGCAAUGAAACUGAGGGUGGGGUUGAAGGAGGGCUGGCCUAAAAUAUGUUUAUGUGGGCUAAUUGCUUACAGGAUUCUUUUUGAUGCUUGAAAAUUGCCAGUGUAUUCUUAAAUUUAUUUUUAAUUUUUUUGUUGGUAUUUUUCAAUUAUAGUUGACAUUCAAUAUUAUACUAGUUUCAGAUGUACAGCAUAGUGGUUAUUUAAUUUACAAAGUGAUUUCCCCCGAUAAGUCUUCCAGUGUAUUCUUAAAUCGAACCUUGCAUGAAAACCUUAGGUUAAAGAUACUGCUUUCUGGGACUUGUAUAUCCGUAAAAAUUAGCUUCUCGGUAUAUUUUUAGUUACUUUAUGCCCUGUUUAAUACCUUCUCUAAGUGUAACGUAUGGGUUUUCCCCCCCUCUCGUCUUGAGCCACAUCCUAGCUGGUGUCAGUAUACGCUAAGGAUGUUUUCAUAUUUUAUCUCCUGCUGAUCUUUGUAAACCAUAAUGAACCGUCACCUCUAAUGCUUUUUAGUCUGGACAGUGAUAGUGUUCUAAAAUCUGAAAAUUGUUAUCUGAGUAUGUGAUAACGGUGAUGUAUUCUUCUAGAUAAGUACUAAACAAAGUAUGGAAUCCCAAUUUAUGUCUUUAAGAUUUAAAGUGAAGUAAAUUUCUAAGGAACUCUGUCCUUUCCUAGCAAGGAUUAAGCAGACAUUGAAAAUUUGGUAAGUAUUUAACUUUAAAUGCAUGUGGUGGUAGUGCUGAGAGUAAAGUAGCCAAAUUGCCAUAGUUUUAAGAUAACAUUUAGAUACGAACAAGAAUUCUCGACUCUUCUUUGCGACCUAAUAAAUGUAUGUGUGUCUAGCCGUUUUAUAAAUUUGUGUGUACAAUGAUUAAACUGAAAUGUACCUUACUUCUUUGGCUUUUCUUUUUAUUUUAUAUGGUUCUUUAAAUACUAAUUUUAUAUUUCAAGCUUUUUUCAGGGUAAAACUAAGUGACUGGUAAAGAAAAUAUCUUCAAGAAGAAUUAUUUAAAUGUUUCCAUUUAAAAACCCAGUGGUGUCUUUUCAGUUUACUUAAGUCUUCUGUUUUCCAGCUCCAGUUAAAAUUGACAGUAGGCAACUGAUCGCAAAAAUGGGGGGAAAGGACCUUUGCUCUCUGUGGAAUGUUUGUAGGAAUCAUUGUAUUACAGUAAAACGUCAUUAAUCCAAUAUGUGAUUUUCAUGGAAAAGGUGAUGAGAUUUGGACUCUCCCCUCCCUCCUCCCUGGGAUGUUGUAUUAAGAAGAUAAUAAAUGGAAGUUGAAGUGAAAUCAUUUAAUUGCUACAGCAGGGAAGGUGAUUUAUUUCUGAAUAAUGUGUCCAUUUCUUUCCAAAACAGUAUAGCAUUGUUUUGUGAAGCAGGACAAGAUCCCAAAGGGUUGUAGGAAAGAGGGCGCCCUUUCCUCAAUUUAGUCUCUAGGUUUAACUCCAGCAUUGUACUGGUUAGGAGGGAAAUGGAGAGCAAGUCGUACAAGGGAUCUGUCUGAUGGUAAGGGGGACCCGAACAAAACACACAAGGGAGGAUAAAUGGCUAGACUGUGUGUAUGAGUAAAUGGUCUAGCUAAACAAAGAAAAUGUGACUAAUAGCUUAAUUUUUAAUGUAAGUAAAUGAACUCACUAAACAUUGUAAUUAAAUAUUAGUUUUAAAAUCAACAUUAAAACUAGCAAUUCUUGCACUUUGUGGAGGCUUAUUCUAAAAAUUGUCUUACACAAGUAAUAUUAGUGCACUUUGUCACUUAGAUAUAUCACCUGGAAGCCGGUGCAGAAGAAAAAUGAAAUGGAACAACGUAGUGUUUACCUACAUUGAAUUUUAGUCUACUGGUAGGCUUUUGGGGGUAAGAGAUGUUUCUUAGUGUGUGGUGCCAUAUAAUAAUUAGACUGGGACUCCAAAAAGGCACUUAAGGUUUUUGUUUCUCUGGAGGUGGUCCGGAGGUGUUGGUUAGGCUUUAAGAAAGCCAAAAACUACCAUUUGAAAAAUGGUGUUUUAUUUUCAUGGCCUUAACAAUUUUUAGUUUGUGUGUUUUCAUUCAAAAGUGGAAUUAUUUUUGCUUCUGCGUUAAAAGCAAGCCUCUUUUUCCAAGAUUAUGGUUGACCAUUAAGAAACAUUUAAAUGCUUAUUUACAUAGAUGAAUAAAAUUUUUCAUAUAUUA